CUUCCUCCAAUGUGUGGGGAAGACCCGAACCCCGGCAGCCAGCCCCUCUGAGUCCGGCCCACGGACGGGAGUACAGGGUCCAGGCAGGUCUGGGAGGCGGCCCGAUCAGGACUCGCCUCUGGCCCCAGCGCUGUGGUUCAGAGGCGAUGCUCUUAAUUUACUCUUCACUCAGCAAGGAGCCAGAAUGGUCCAGCGCACAGCGGGAAGCUGUGACAAAGCUCGUAGUAAGUGCUUUCUGGAGCUCGGUAUCAGGACCUAUGAAUCAGCUGUCUGGUGCUUCCUCCAAGAGCGAAGGAUGUACAUUUAGCCAGCCGUCAGGGACACGGAAUUAUGUGUUUGGGGGAGUAGCGAAUAGCCAGGUUCACGGAAGGGGUCCCACAAGUGGGCACUUAUUUAAACCCGCUCGUGGCGACCCACCCAGACUGACAAAUUCCUUUGAAAACGGAAGGCUUAAUGGCCCGUCUUGGGCAGGUAAUCUCUGUUUUUGCUGCAAACGUGGCGUCCCGCCGUUGGGCCCACUUCUUCCCUGGCCCCUGUCACCUCCCUGUGUACAGGCAUGCUGCAGGGGGGCUGCAGUUACAGGGCAGCUGUCCCCCCUCUGCUGCGCCCCCUACCCCACUGCCCUCUCUCCCCUUUUUCUCCUGACCACUCACCUUCUAACCCACGGGCUCUGUUUACCCUCUACUCCUGUUUCCUCCGGGGCAGGGGGUUUACACUGUUUUCUGCUGCGUCCCCACACCUGGCUCCAAGCAGCAGCCCAGGUUCUACCUGGGGAGUGAAUCAGCCGUGAGUUCCCAGGGAGACCCAACCAAGAGAAGAGAGAAUAUCUUUAAGCUUUAAGGCUUGGCGGCCGGCAGGGCUGAAGCCCACGGAGCAGGCGGCCGUCUGGAAAUUGGGGUGGGGCUCGAGCCACAGCCGUGAGGCAGAAUUCCCUGUUUCCACAGGAAACCGCCGGGUUUUCUCUUAAAGCCUUCAACUGAUUGGGUGAGGCCCACCCGCUUUGUUGAGGUUGCUCAUCACUCCAAGAUGCUGAUGGCUGGUGCUACCCAGCCUGCCAGGUACCUUCACAGCAGCGUCUGGAUCAGCGUUGGAACCGUGGGGACGGCAGCCUGAUAAGACGGCCCCGGAGCCGAGUGUCCGGGGGGUGAGGGAGGCGCGUGCAGCGCCACGCCGAGGCAGACGUGCCUCUCUGGGCGUUCUUCCCUCCAGCACCGGGGGACACAAAGGACCAGUUCUCAGCCAUGACAGAUGGCCAGCGAGAGAGGAUGGCGGCCCAGUGAGGACCGGCGCAGGAGGGCGAGGGGAUAGACAGCGCAGGCGGUCAGAGGACGUGUGGGCACGUGGCCCAGGAGAGACUUGGAAGAGGCAGGCGGAGAAAUGUCCCCGCGUCCAGGAGGCGUCCGUGGAUGCGGCGACCUGGAGGGAGGUGGUCCUCUGCGCCGUCCGUCCCUGGAGCGGCGGGAGCCCGUGGGCGGGGCGAGGACUCUGCGGGGAUGGCGGCCGGGGUCCCUGCGGCCCUGCGGAGCAGCGAGGGGGCGGAGGACCGAGAGUUGCCCCAAGGACAGCGGGGGAGUGGACGCUCCCGGGAGCCCCCAGCGGCUGGUUUUGAGGGACCACGGGAGGAGGUGGAGGCAUGGGGCCCACGGGGAGGCCGGGAAGGCCGUGCGCCCCUGUCUCAUCGCCUCCCCCAAGCCCCGGCAGGAGGCGCUGGUUCUGCAAGACGGAAGU